rnacentral:rRNA from 1 species
UACGUAGGGUGCGAGCGUUGUCCGGAAUUAUUGGGCGUAAAGGGCUCGUAGGCGGUUUGUCGCGUCGGGAGUGAAAUCCACUGGCUUAACUGGUGGCUUGCUUUCGAUACGGGCAGACUGGAGGUAUGCAGGGGAGAACGGAAUUCCUGGUGUAGCGGUGAAAUGCGCAGAUAUCAGGAGGAACACCGGUGGCGAAGGCGGUUCUCUGGGCAUGUCCUGACGUGAGGAGCGAAAGUGUGGGGAGGCGAACAGGA